UGGGACUCCAAACUCGAGAAGGGGAAUCA
rnacentral:piRNA from 1 species